UACGGAGGGUGCAAACGUUGUUCGGAUUCACUGGGCGUAAAGGGCACGUAGGCGGCUCGGCAAAUCGGUCGUGGAAUCUCGACGCUUACCGUCGAAACGGCGGCCGAAAAUACCGGGCUCGAGGGCGUGAGGGGUCACUGGAACUCCUGGUGAAGCGGUGAAAUGCGUAGAUAUCAGGAGGAACGCCGGAGGCGAAAGCGAGUGACUGGCGCGUUCCUGACGCUGAGGUGCGAAAGCUAGGGGAGCAAACAGG
rnacentral:rRNA from 1 species